AUGUUUGUUGAUACGUUUAUUAUUUUUAUUUUCUCACUGAUCCAAGCUGUGCUGGGAGUGACAGUGGAGCAAGAUCAGCUCUCCUGGGUGAAGGAGGAGGGUAAAAGUGUGUAUAUCAACUGCAGAGUGACUGACCUCACUACUGACUACAUCCACUGGUACCAGCAGAAAGACGGAGAGGCGAUGACUAGAAUACUCUACAUCAAGCACGACGGCACUGGACUCACCAAUCCCCAGGCAAAGGACUUCACUGUGAGCGUAAACAGCAUUGCUAACUCUUAUAAUCUGAAGAUAGACACACUGCAGAAGAGCCAUUCAGCAGUGUAUUACUGCGCCAGCUGGCAGAGUGGCAGCCACAGUGACGCUAAUCACUCACAUCCUGUACAAAAACUGCUACAGCAUGCAACACUCAGUACAGAGCAGAUGAAGAAGCAGUAGAGGAAGUACACUAAUUCAUUAAUUAAGUGUAAAUACUGAA